UACGUAGGGGGCUAGCGUUGUCCGGAAUCAUUGGGCGUAAAGAGCGCGUAGGCGGCCAGAUAAGUCCGGUGUGAAAGUCAAAGGCUCAACCUUUGAAUGCCGCUGGAAACUGUCUGGCUAGAGUCCGGGAGGGGCGAGUGGAAUUCCUGGUGUAGCGGUGGAAUGCGCAGAUAUCAGGAGGAACACCGGUGGCGAAGGCGGAUCUCUGGGCCAUAACUGACGCUGAGGAGCGAAAGCAUGGGGAGCGAACAGG
rnacentral:rRNA from 1 species